rnacentral:rRNA from 1 species
UACGUAGGGGGCGAGCGUUGUCCGAAGUUACUGGGCGUAAAGCGCGCGUAGGCGGGCUCUUAAGUGAGGGGUGAAAGGUUCGGGCUCAACCCGAACACUGCCUUUCAUACUGGGAGCCUUGAGUGCGGGAGAGGCGAGUGGAAUGGUCGGUGUAGCGGUGAAAUGCGUAGAUAUCGAUCGGAACACCCAGGGCGAAGGCAGCUCGCUGGCCUGCAACUGACGCUGAGGCGCGAAAGCCAGGGGAGCGAACGGG